GACGAACGUGGCGGCGUGCUUAACACAUCAAGUCGAACGAUGAAGCCUAGCUUGCUAGGUGGAUUAGUGGCGAACGGGUGAGUAAUACGUGAGUGACCUACCUUUGACUCUGGGAUAAGCCUGGGAAACUGGGUCUAAUACCGGAUACGACCAAUCUCCGCAUGGGGUGUUGGUGGAAAGCGUUAUGGAGUGGUUUUAGAUGGGCUCACGGCCUAUCAGCUUGUUGGUGAGGUAAUGGCUUACCAAGGCGACGACGGGUAGCCGGCCUGAGAGGGUGACCGGCCACACUGGGACUGAGACACGGCCCAGACUCCUACGGGAGGCAGCAGUGGGGAAUAUUGCACAAUGGGCGCAACUGAUGCAGCGACGCCGCGUGAGGGAUGACGGCCUUCGGGUUGUAAACCUCUGUUAGCAUCGAAGAAGCGAAAGUGACGGUAGGU
rnacentral:rRNA from 1 species